GCAGUCGACGGGAGGCGAGCUUCGGUUCGCUGGAGAGUGGCGCACGGGUGAGUAACACGUAGCUAACCUGCCCUGGAGAGGGGGAUAACGCACGGAAACGUGUGCUAAUACCCCAUAAGCUCACGGUCUGUAGAGGGCUGUGAGAAAAAGCUGAGGUGCUCUGGGAUGGGGCUGCGACCCAUCAGCUAGUUGGUAAGGUAACGGCUUACCAAGGCGACGACGGGUAGGGGGCCUGAGAGGGUGACCCCCCACACUGGGACUGAGACACGGCCCAGACUCCUACGGGAGGCAGCAGUGAGGAAUAUUGCACAAUGGACGGAAGUCUGAUGCAGCGACGCCGCGUGGGUGAAGAAGGUUUUCGGAUCGUAAAGCCCUUUUCUGCGUGACGAGGAAGGACGGUAGCGCAGGAAUAAGUGUCGGCUAACUACGUGCCAGCAGCCGCGGUAAAACGUAGGACGCAAGCGUUAUCCGGAAUUACUGGGCGUAAAGCGCGUGCAGGCGGAAUGGCAAGUUGGAUGUGAAAUCUCCCGGCUUAACUGGGAGGGGUCGUCCAAAACUACGAUUCUAGAGAGCGAGAGAGGGAGGCAGAAUUCCGAGUGUAGUGGUGAAAUGCGUAGAUAUUCGGAGGAAUACCAGAGGCGAAGGCGGCCUCCUGGCUCGCAACUGACGCUGAGACGCGAAAGCUAGGGUAGCAAACGGGAUUAGAUACCCUGGUA
rnacentral:rRNA from 1 species